ACUACGGGAGGCAGCAGUGGGGAAUAUUGCGCAAUGGGCGAAAGCCAGACGCAGCGACGCCGCGUGAGGGAUGAAGGUCUUCGGAUCGUAAACCUCUGUCAGCAGGGAAGAACGGUCACUGUGCUAAUCAGCAGUGAAUUGACGGUACCUGCAAAGGAAGCACCGGCUAACUCCGUGCCAGCAGCCGCGGUAAUACGGAGGGUGCGAGCGUUAAUCGGAAUUACUGGGCGUAAAGCGCUCGUAGGCGGUAUGUCAAGUCAAGUGUGAAAUCCCCGCGCUCAACGUGGGAACUGCCUUUGAAACUGGCAAACUGGAGUGUGUGAGAGGAUAGUGGAAUGCCAGGUGUAGGAGUGAAAUCCGUAGAUAUCUGGAGGAACAUCAGUGGCGAAGGCGACUAUCUGGCACAUAACUGACGCUGAGGAGCGAAAGCGUGGGUAGCAAACAGGAUUAGAUACCCGGGUAGUC
rnacentral:rRNA from 1 species